rnacentral:tRNA from 1 species
GCUGCCGUAGCUCAGUGGUAGAGCACUCCCUUGGUAAGGAGAGGUCGGGAGUUCAAUCCUCCCCGGCAGCACCA